rnacentral:piRNA from 1 species
UCAACAUGAAGUGUCCUACGCCGGGCUGC